rnacentral:rRNA from 1 species
GACAGAGGUGGCUAGCGUUGUUCGGAUUUAUUGGGCGUAAAGCGCACGCAGGCGGUUUGGUAAGUCAGAGGUGAAAUUCUGCAGCUUAACUGCGGGACUGCCUUUGAUACUGCCUUUCUCGAGUGCAUGAGGGGGAAGCGGAAUUCCGAGUGUAGAGGUGAAAUUCGUAGAUAUUCGGAGGAACACCGGUGGCGAAGGCGGCUUCCUGGCAUGUAACUGACGCUCAGGUGCGAAAGCGUGGGGAGCAAACAGG